GACGAACGCUGGCGGCGUGCUUAACACAUGCAAGUCGAACGAUGACGACCGAGCUUGCUCGGUCUGAUUAGUGGCGAACGGGUGAGUAACACGUGAGCAACCUGCCCUUCACUCUGGGAUAACCUCGGGAAAUCGGGGCUAAUACCGGAUAUGAGCUCCUGUCGCAUGGCGGGUGUUGGAAAGUUUUUCGGUGAAGGAUGGGCUCGCGGCCUAUCAGUUUGUUGGUGAGGUAGUGGCUCACCAAGGCGAUGACGGGUAGCCGGCCGGAGAGGGCGACCGGCCACGCGGGGGAGGGAGAGACGCCCAGGACUCAUAGGGGGGGCAGCAGGGGGGAAUAUUGCAGAGGGGGAGAAAGCCGGAGGCAGCGCCCCCGGGGGAGGAAGGACGGCCUGGGGUUUGAAACCCUUUUUCGGAGGGAAAGAAGGGAAAGUGAGGGACCGUGAAAAAGAGGCCCCGACAAACUCGGUC
rnacentral:rRNA from 1 species